GACUUGUCCCAUCAUCAAUUGAGAGUCACUGUAGAUUUGGAGCUGAUCUACUUCUAAUUCUUUGACGAUCUUUAGUCCUGCAAUCAGAGCUUCAUAUUCUGCUUCGUUAUUUAUUGUAAGAAAUUCAAAGUGCAGUGCAUACUUCACGAUAAUUUCUUUCGGAUUGACCAAGAUCAGGCCCGCACCCGUGCUUGACAUGUUGGAGGAACCAUCCACAUAGAGGGCCCAAAAACCAUCAGGGAGAUCUAUUCUUUCCUCAGGGGAGUUCGACUGGAGCCCUGGGUUGUCAGCUUCACCUCAUUCAAGUUUGGCUUCUUCCAGGAU
rnacentral:lncRNA from 1 species